AUUGAACGCUGGCGGCAGGCUUAACACAUGCAAGUCGAGCGGGGAAAGGUAGCUUGCUACCUGACCUAGCGGCGGACGGGUGAGUAAUGCUUAGGAAUCUGCCUAUUAGUGGGGGACAACAUCUCGAAAGGGAUGCCAAUACCGCAUACGUCCUACGGGAGAAAGCAGGGGACCUUCGGGCCUUGCGCUAAUAGAUGAGCCUAAGUCGGAUUAGCUAGUUGGUGGGGUAAAGGCCUACCAAGGCGACGAUCUGUAGCGGGUCUGAGAGGAUGAUCCGCCACACUGGGACUGAGACACGGCCCAGACUCCUACGGGAGGCAGCAGUGGGGAAUAUUGGACAAUGGGGGGAACCCUGAUCCAGCCAUGCCGCGUGUGUGAAGAAGGCCUUUUGGUUGUAAAGCACUUUAAGCGAGGAGGAGGCUACCGAGAUUAAUACUCUUGGAUAGUGGACGUUACUCGCAGAAUAAGCACCGGCUAACUCUGUG
rnacentral:rRNA from 1 species